rnacentral:rRNA from 1 species
AGUCGAACGGUGAAAGCGGGAGCUUGCUCCUGCUGGAUCAGUGGCGAACGGGUGAGUAACACGUGAGUAACCUGCCCUUGACUCUGGGAUAAGCGUUGGAAACGACGUCUAAUACCGGAUACGAGCUUCAGCCGCAUGGCUAGGAGCUGGAAAGAAUUUCGGUCAAGGAUGGACUCGCGGCCUAUCAGCUAGUUGGUGAGGUAAUGGCUCACCAAGGCGACGACGGGUAGCCGGCCUGAGAGGGUGACCGGCCACACUGGGACUGAGACACGGCCCAGACUCCUACGGGAGGCAGCAGUGGGGAAUAUUGCACAAUGGGCGCAAGCCUGAUGCAGCAACGCCGCGUGAGGGACGACGGCCUUCGGGUUGUAAACCUCUUUUAGCAGGGAAGAAGCGAAAGUGACGGUACCUGCAGAAAAAGCACCGGCUAACUACGUGCCAGCAGCCGCGGUAAUACGUAGGGUGCAAGCGUUGUCCGGAAUUAUUGGGCGUAAAGAGCUCGUAGGCGGUUUGUCGCGUCUGCUGUGAAAACGCGAGGCUCAACCUCGCGCCUGCAGUGGGUACGGGCAGACUAGAGUGCGGUAGGGGAGAUUGGAAUUCCUGGUGUAGCGGUGGAAUGCGCAGAUAUCAGGAGGAACACCAAUGGC